CCCUGAAAAGGAAGAGAGAGGAGUUAGGACGAGAGUGCCGCAGGGUCCUCCCACACCAGCAUCCCCUCUUCUGUGGUCCCGGGUGGAUGUUGAGCCAUUGGGUGUCUCUCUCAUCUGCUAAUAGAAAUGGCACCCCGGAGAGCUGGUCUUUUCAUUCCAUUUCUCCGGACCUCCCUCAGCAAAUGCUAAUUGAAUUUCCAGUUCUGUGAGAGAGAACUGGAAUCGGAUUCCCAGGCCCCAGGGAGUGGUGCCUGGCAUAACCACUGCUCUGCAAAACAACGCUGCACUUCUGUGGGUGAAAGUGCAGCCGCUCCAUUGCUUUGCUUUGAAUGAGCACUUUUUCUCGUCAGCUAGAGGUUCCAGGGCAGCUGAGGGGAACUGCCAGCGACAACAGGAGCAACUUCUUUUUCGGAGGGACCCUAGCACACCCCUUGCUACACGCGCCAGCAAAGAGCAAAGCCGCGCCAGCAAAGAGCAAAGCCACGUGUCCAUCCCUGGGGACGUCCCUCCUAUGUGCCAUCUCAUCUGCCACACCAGACAAAUCAAAUGCACAGAGAGCUUUGUCUGCAAACUUUGACUUGAAGAGGUCUUAAAACCAUGCAUUGACACGUUUGGGGGACAAAUAAUUUCGAUGUUUAAAAGAGAGUUGGCAGCUAAUUGAGAUGGUGCACAGGUGUGCUGUGGCCCACGGUGUGGAGGUAGCCAGGCGUGGCCAUCCCUCUAGAAAGAGGAAUGCGUUGGUCACUGAGAAUGUCACUUAGAUUGACAGAGCAGAACUGCACUUUUUUUGCAUUCAAAUUUUUAUUCAAAGUUUAGUCUCUCUCCUUGGGUUUCCCCUCUUUUAUGAAAUGAUCAAUUUUGGCGAAGAGCCCCCAGAAAGCAAGAUAGAAAAGAAAUAUACUCUUUACCGUGGCCGAUCAGCAACGAACCAACACUGUCCUCAUCUAAUUCUAUGUCUUCCACACUGCCCAGUAACACAAAUAACCAGAGCGCGGACGCCAAGAAUCCUUCCAAGUAAUGCAGCUAACAGACCAAGGUGACAGUUCUGACUUCUUGGGGGGUUUUCCAAGUACAUACGUAGCAUUAUAAACAAGCCUCUAUGUUGUGCUUACACAACUCACUCAAGGGAUUUUUGUUUUCACAAGUGAAAAUGUUUAUGAAAUGCUAGCCUGCGAAGCCGCUUCAGGAACCAUCUAGUGAGAUUUCCCUCCCAAGACAGGCAGCUUUCUCACAUACCGUGGAGGCCUCCUGCCGGCCUGGGGACUGACAGGUGCAGGGCCCUGACCCUAGAGGGCCAGCCUCUCCCUCGGGAGCGUGGGUUUUUCCUGUUUGAUCCUGGCUUAACUUGAACAUCUCUGGCAUUGGAGCUGCCCUCUGGAGUAGCCCAGAAGUUAGCACUCACCUCACCUUUUGCUGCAUUUCCAAGAGAUCAGCCUUUAGACUUCCUGGAAAGUGGUAGAACCACUGUCCUAUGAAACAAAGUGCUUCUGUGCUGAAAUGGAGUAAGUUCCCUGCAGCCUCUGCAAGGUAACCUACCAAGGUACAAUCUUAACUUUCUUGAUGCCCCCUUUGACAUUGAAAAUGGUGGGUGUAUUGGUUUUACUUUUUAUCAUUGAAACUACAAUUUGUUGAGCACUGACCAUGCAGGAAACCUGUUUUUCCCCGUUUUCUCUUUUGUGCUCACGGCACCUCCUGCAGUAGGUGUUCCUAUCAUCCUCUCUUUAUAGCCCAGGAGCCAAAGCUCAGCCAGCCCGAAGGAGCCAGGAUUAGAGCCUGCAUGGAUGCAACAGUCACGCUUCUCUCUAUUACGUGUCUUGCAACUUGGAGUCACAUGAUCUCAGCAUCUGAUCCACCCUGGGCUCAGAACCUCCCAGAACCUCCCAGAAUCGAGGCUCACGGCAGAGGUUCUGCACUCACCAAGGACGCGGGGGGACCAUGUCUGUGCCCAUGUGGAUCCCAGCUGCUGGGCAGAGCACACCACACAUCCAGACUCAAAAAAAUACAUGGAGUCAAAGGUCAGGUGACUGAAUCAAUGAGUAUGUUACACACCAAGAAAGACCCCUCCUUUCUGCACCCCGGGGAGCAGCCCCAGAGGCCUGGUCUCCUCCAGGAUGAAAAUGCAAACGCAGGUGCCUGGGGGCUCCCAGAGCCUUUGGCUUCACAGUUCCCUCCCGGCCCUGCCUGGAGCUUCAUGUGCCUCCCCUUUUGCUUAAUGAGAGCCGCUGUCUAAGAGUUAAGGGUUUUCUGGGUGACGUUUAACAAUAAUAAAGGUGACUGCUUAUCUAAGGAAUCCGA